GGGCGGUUAGCUCAGUGGUAGAGCGCCUGCCUUACAAGCAGGUGGUCACAGGUUCGAAUCCUGUACCGCCCA
rnacentral:tRNA from 5 species